AUUGAACGCUGGCGGAAUGCUUUACACAUGCAAGUCGAACGGCAGCACGGGGGCAGCCCUGGUGGCGAGUGGCGAACGGGUGAGUAAUACAUCGGAACGUGCCCGGUCGUGGGGGAUAACGUAGCGAAAGUUACGCUAAUACCGCAUACGAUCUGAGGAUGAAAGCGGGGGACCUUCGGGCCUCGCGCGAUCGGAGCGGCCGAUGUCAGAUUAGGUAGUUGGUGGGGUAAAGGCCUACCAAGCCGACGAUCUGUAGCUGGUCUGAGAGGACGACCAGCCACACUGGGACUGAGACACGGCCCAGACUCCUACGGGAGGCAGCAGUGGGGAAUUUUGGACAAUGGGCGCAAGCCUGAUCCAGCCAUUCCGCGUGCAGGACGAAGGCCUUCGGGUUGUAAACUGCGUUUGUACGGAACGAAAAGGCUCUGGCUAAUACCUGGGGCUCAUGACGGUACCGUAAGAAUAAGCACCGGCUAACUACGUG
rnacentral:rRNA from 1 species